GCACUAGCUCAACAGGCAGAGCAAUCGUUCCUAAACGAUGGGUCGCCGGUUCAAAUCCGGCGUGCA
rnacentral:tRNA from 1 species